AGUGAACGCUGGCGGUAGGCCUAACACAUGCAAGUCGAACGGCAGCACAGGAGAGCUUGCUCUCUGGGUGGCGAGUGGCGGACGGGUGAGGAAUACGUCGGAAUCUACUCUGUCGUGGGGGAUAACGUAGGGAAACUUACGCUAAUACCGCAUACGACCUACGGGUGAAAGCAGGGGACCUUCGGGCCUUGCGCGAUUGAAUGAGCCGAUGUCGGAUUAGCUAGUUGGCGGGGUAAAGGCCCACCAAGGCGACGAUCCGUAGCUGGUCUGAGAGGAGGAUCCGCCACCCGGGAACUGAGACACGUGCCAGCCUCCUACGGGAGGCAGCAGUGGGGAAUAUUGGACAAUGGGCGCAAGCCUGAUCCAGCCAUACCGCGUGGGUGAAGAAGGCCUUCGGGUUGUAAAGCCCUUUUGUUGGGAAAGAAAUCCAGCUGGCUAAUACCCGGUUGGGAUGACGGUACCCAAAGAAUAAGCACCGGCUAACUUCGUGCCAGCCGCCGCCGUAA
rnacentral:rRNA from 1 species